rnacentral:rRNA from 1 species
UACGAAGGGUGCAAACGUUGCUCGGAAUUAUUGGGCGUAAAGCGCACGUAGGCGGUUUGGAAAGCCCCAUGUGAAAUCCCACAGCUUAACUGUGGAAGUGCAUGGGAAACCUCCAGACUUGAGUACGAAAGAGGAUCGCGGAAUUCCCGGUGUAGAGGUGAAAUUCGUAGAUAUCGGGAGGAACACCAGUGGCGAAGGCGGCGAUCUGGGUCGAUACUGACGCUGAGGUGCGAAAGCGUGGGGAGCAAACAGG